UCCCUACGGGAGGCAGCAGUGGGGAAUAUUGGUCAAUGGGCGGGAGCCUGAACCAGCCAUGCCGCGUGAAGGCGAGUGCCCUACGGGCGUUAAACUUCUUUUGUGCGGGAGCAAUAAGGGCCACGUGUGGCCCGAUGAGAGUACCGCACGAAUAAGCAUCGGCUAACUCCGUGCCAGCAGCCGCAGUAAUACGGAGGAUUCAAGCGUUAUCCGGAUUUAUUGGGUUUAAAGGGUGCGUAGGCGGUCGGAUAAGUUAGAGGUGAAAUCCCGAGGCUCAACUUCGGAAUUGCCUCUGAUACUGUUCG
rnacentral:rRNA from 1 species